rnacentral:rRNA from 1 species
GAUGAACGCUGGCGGCGUGCCUAAUACAUGCAAGUCGAACGCUGGAACUCUAGCUUGCUCGCUUGAAGGAGUGGCGAACGGGUGAGUAAUACAUAAGCAACCUACCCACGAAGACUGGGAUAAUCUCUGGAAACGGGGACUAAUACCGGAUAGGUAAUCGGAAGGCACCUUCUGAUUAUUAAAGGUUAAAAACACUGGUGGAUGGGCUUAUGGCGCAUUAGUUAGUUGGUGAGGUAACGGCCCACCAAGACGAUGAUGCGUAGCCGGCCUGAGAGGGUGAACGGCCACAUUGGGACUGAGACACGGCCCAGACUCCUACGGGAGGCAGCAGUAGGGAAUUUUCGGCAAUGGGGGAAACCCUGAUCGAGCAACGCCGCGUGAGUGAUGACGGCCUUCGGGGUGUAAAGCUCUGUUGUAAGGGAAGAACGGUAGAUAGAGAAUAUCUAAAUGACGGUACCUUACCAGAAAGCCACGGCUAACUACGUG